GACGAACGCUGGCGGCGUGCUUAACACAUGCAAGUCGAACGGAAAGGCCCUGCUUUUGUGGGGUGCUCGAGUGGCGAACGGGUGGGUAACACGUGAGGAACCUGCCCUUGACUUUGGGAUAACUUCAGGAAACUGGGGCUAAUACCGGAUAGGAGCUCCUGCUGCAUGGUGGGGGUUGGAAAGUUUCGGCGGUUGGGGAUGGACUCGCGGCUUAUCAGCUUGUUGGUGGGGUAGUGGCUUACCAAGGCUUUGACGGGUAGCCGGCCUGAGAGGGUGACCGGCCACAUUGGGACUGAGAUACGGCCCAGACUCCUACGGGAGGCAGCAGUGGGGAAUAUUGCACAAUGGGCGGAAGCCUGAUGCAGCAACGCCGCGUGCGGGAUGACGGCCUUCGGGUUGUAAACCGCUUUCGCCUGUGACGAAGCGUGAGUGACGGUAAUGGGUAAAGAAGCACCGGCUAACUACGUG
rnacentral:rRNA from 1 species